AGCAGCCGCCUCUCAGCCACGGGCUGCACACUGACCCGACGCGACCUUCGGUCAGGGGCCGCCAGCCUGGGCCACCUAUACAACGACAGCCUGCUCCGGGGCUUCCUGAGGAGGUGCCUGCCCCGCCGAGGUUCAACAGCUUUGGAGAGCAGGACAUCUUUUCCUCUCAGCCUGGCCCUCUGCAAUGGAGGCCAUAAAUAGGCCAGUAGUGGAAGCUACAGAACACGUGAGCAUGGCAGGGGCUGAGCUCCAUUUCAAGAUAUGGGUAAGAGGAGGGAUGCUGUUGCCUUGGAGCUGCCAGGCUGCAUGGCAGACAAGCAGGAUUCCUGCUGCCUCCCAUGGAGACUAUACUGGAACGCAGGAUUGUUGCCAUGGCAGGACUCAGGCGUUCUUAGAUGCUGCCUCAACCCCAACAAGCAGUUUCUCUCCACACUCCCUUCCCAUUGGCUCCAUACACUCUUAAAGCAUCGGUGCACAUGCAGACCACCAUCUGUUUACAAAAUGUUAAUUUAAAAACAAAACACAUAUAUAAGGCCAGGCACGGUGGCUCACGCCUGUAAUCCUAGCACUUUGGGAGGCUGAGGCGGGCAUUUCACCUGACGUCAGGAGUUCAACCAGCCUGGCCAACAUGGUGAAACCCUAUCUCUACAAAAAUACAAAAAUUAGCUGGGCAUGAUGGUGGGUGCCUGUAAUUCCAGCUACUCAAGAGGCUGAGGCGGGAGAAUCACUUGAAUCUGGGAAGCGGAGGUUGCAGCGAGUCGAGAUCGCGCCACUGCACUCCAGCCUGGGUAACAAAGUGAGACUCUGUCUCAAAAUAAAUAAAACUAAAACACAUAUAUGAACUUUAGUUUGUCUUCUUCAGCUAGUGAUUCAUUUGUAACUUAGUGCAAAACUCAGAUUGGAAUGCUUCAAAGUCAAAUGUUUUCCCCUGUAAGGUGGAAGCGAGAGCAGGGUCUAGUUUCAACACACAGUGGAAUAGAAGUGCUGCCUGGCUCUGAU
rnacentral:lncRNA from 1 species